AUCCAGCUGACGAGUCUCAAAUGGGACGAGUCGCGCGUCCUUGAU
rfam:Schistosoma rodhaini strain Burundi genome assembly, scaffold: SROB_scaffold0002493